rnacentral:rRNA from 1 species
CGGACCCGAAAGAAGGUGAACUAUGCCUGUAUAGGGUAAAGCCAGAGGAAACUCUGGUGGAGGCUCGCAGCGGUUCUGACGUGCAAAUCGAUCGUCAAAUAUGGGCAUGGGGGCGAAAGACUAAUCGAACCUUCUAGUAGCUGGUUUCCGCCGAAGUUUCCCUCAGGAUAGCAGUGUUGAAUUCUCAGUUUUAUGAGGUAAAGCGAAUGAUUAGGGACUCGGGGGCGCUAUUAAGCCUUCAUCCAUUCUCAAACUUUAAAUAUGUAAGAAGCCCUUGUUACUUAAUUGAACGUGGGCAUUCGAAUGUAUCAACACUAGUGGGCCAUUUUUGGUAAGCAGAACUGGCGAUGCGGGAUGAACCGAUCGCGGGGAUAAGGUGCCGGAGUGGACGCUCAUCAGACACCACAAAAGGUGUUAUCACAUCU